UGAGUAACCUGCCCUUAACUCUGGGACAACUCCGGGAAACCGGGGCUAAUACCGGAUACGACCUUCCCUCGCAUGGGGGUUGGUGGAAAGUUCUUCGGCUGAGGAUGGGCCCGCGGCCUAUCAGCUUGUUGGUGGGGUGAUGGCCUACCAAGGCGACGACGGGUAGCCGGCCUGAGAGGGCGACCGGCCACACUGGGACUGAGACACGGCCCAGACUCCUACGGGAGGCA
rnacentral:rRNA from 1 species